GGGGUGUGCUCAGAGCACGGGGCCUGAAGAAAUGGCUUUUCUGUUUACAACACACCCAAUAGGAAUUUGGGUUCAUUAUGAUGAGGGGCACAAACUGUCGGGCCUUCCUAUGAACACAUACCCUCCACGC
ensembl:snoRNA